rnacentral:rRNA from 1 species
CAUUACGAGCGACGGACGAGAAGCUUGCUUCUCUGAUGUUAGCGGCGGACGGGUGAGUAACACGUGGAUAACCUACCUAUAAGACUGGGAUAACUUCGGGAAACCGGAGCUAAUACCGGAUAAUAUUUUGAACCGCAUGGUUCAAAAGUGAAAGACGGUCUUGCUGUCACUUAUAGAUGGAUCCGCGCUGCAUUAGCUAGUUGGUAAGGUAACGGCUUACCAAGGCAACGAUGCAUAGCCGACCUGAGAGGGUGAUCGGCCACACUGGAACUGAGACACGGUCCAGACUCCUACGGGAGGCAGCAGUAGGGAAUCUUCCGCAAUGGGCGAAAGCCUGACGGAGCAACGCCGCGUGAGUGAUGAAGGUCUUCGGAUCGUAAAACUCUGUUAUUAGGGAAGAACAUAUGUGUAAGUAACUGUGCACAUCUUGACGGUACCUAAUCAGAAAGCCACGGCUAACUACGUGCCAGCAGCCGCGGUAAUACGUAGGUGGCAAGCGUUAUCCGGAAUUAUUGGGCGUAAAGCGCGCGUAGGCGGUUUUUUAAGUYUUGAUGUGAAAAGCCCCACGGCUCAACCGUGGAGGGUCAUUGGAAACUGGAAAACUUGAGUGCAGAAGAGGAAAAGUGGAAUUCCAUGUGUAGCGGUGAAAUGCGCAGAGAUAUGGAGGAACACCAGUGGCGAAGGCGACUUUCUGGUCUGUAACUGACGCUGAUGUGCGAAAGCGUGGGGAUCAAACAGGAUUAGAUACCCUGGUAGUCCACGCCGUAAACGAUGAGUGCUAAGUGUUAGGGGGUUUCCGCCCCUUAGUGCUGCAGCUAACGCAUUAAGCACUCCGCCUGGGGAGUACGACCGCAAGGUUGAAACUCAAAGGAAUUGACGGGGACCCGCACAAGCGGUGGAGCAUGUGGUUUAAUUCGAAGCAACGCGAAGAACCUUACCAAAUCUUGACAUCCUUUGACAACUCUAGAGAUAGAGCUUUCCCCUUCGGGGGACAAAGUGACAGGUGGUGCAUGGUUGUCGUCAGCUCGUGUCGUGAGAUGUUGGGUUAAGUCCCGCAACGAGCGCAACCCUUAAGCUUAGUUGCCAUCAUUAAGUUGGGCACUCUAAGUUGACUGCCGGUGACAAACCGGAGGAAGGUGGGGAUGACGUCAAAUCAUCAUGCCCCUUAUGAUUUGGGCUACACACGUGCUACAAUGGACAAUACAAAGGGCAGCGAAACCGCGAGGUCAAGCAAAUCCCAUAAAGUUGUUCUCAGUUCGGAUUGUAGUCUGCAACUCGACUACAUGAAGCUGGAAUCGCUAGUAAUCGUAGAUCAGCAUGCUACGGUGAAUACGUUCCCGGGUCUUGUACACACCGCCCGUCACACCACGAGAGUUUGUAACACCCGAAGCCGGUGGAGUAACCUUUUAGGAGCU